rnacentral:rRNA from 1 species
AUUGAACGCUGGCGGAAUGCUUUACACAUGCAAGUCGAACGGCAGCACGGGGGCAGCCCUGGUGGCGAGUGGCGAACGGGUGAGUAAUACAUCGGAACGUGCCCGGUCGUGGGGGAUAACGUAGCGAAAGUUACGCUAAUACCGCAUACGAUCUGAGGAUGAAAGCGGGGGACCUCGGGCCUCGCGCGAUCGGAGCGGCCGAUGUCAGAUUAGGUAGUUGGUGGGGUAAAGGCCUACCAAGCCGACGAUCUGUAGCUGGUCUGAGAGGACGACCAGCCACACUGGGACUGAGACACGGCCCAGACUCCUACGGGAGGCAGCAGUGGGGAAUUUUGGACAAUGGGCGCAAGCCUGAUCCAGCCAUUCCGCGUGCAGGACGAAGGCCUUCGGGUUGUAAACUGCUUUUGUACGGAACGAAAAGGCUCUGGCUAAUACCUGGGGCUCAUGACGGUACCGUAAGAAUAAGCACCGGCUAACUACGUG